rnacentral:rRNA from 1 species
AUGAACGCUAGCGGCAGGCUUAACACAUGCAAGUCGAGGGGCAGCACGGGUAGCAAUACCUGGUGGCGACCGGCGCAAGGGUGCGUAACGCGUGAGCAACAUGCCCUAUACGAGGGGGAUAAUCCAGGGAAACUUGGUCUAAUAUCCCAUAGCAUUUAGAGGAGGCAUCUUCACUAAAUUAAAGCUUCGGUGGUAUAGGAUUGGCUCGCGUGACAUUAGCUAGAUGGUGAGGUAACGGCCCACCAUGGCUAUGAUGUCUAGGGGUUCUGAGAGGAAGACCCCCCACACUGGGACUGAGACACGGCCCAGACUCCUACGGGAGGCAGCAGUGAGGAAUAUUGGACAAUGGAUGGAAAUCUGAUCCAGCCAUGCCGCGUGCAGGAAGACGGCCCUAUGGGUUGUAAACUGCUUUUAUAUGGGAGCAAUAAGGUUUACGAGUAGACCGAUGAGAGUACCAUAUGAAUAAGCAUCGGCUAACUCCGUG